rnacentral:rRNA from 1 species
GGUCCCAAGGGUUGGGCUGUUCGCCCAUUAAAGCGGUACGCGAGCUGGGUUUAGAACGUCGUGAGACAGUUCGGUCCCUAUCCUCUGCGCGCGCAGGAAAUUUGAGAAGAGCUAUCCCUAGUACGAGAGGACCGGGAUGGACGAACCUCUGGUGUGUCAGUUGUUCCGCCAGGAGCACCGCUGAUUAGCUACGUUCGGAACGGAUAACCGCUGAAAGCAUCUAAGCGGGAAGCCGGCUUCAAGAUGAGAUUUCCAUGACUUCGGUCGAGAGGCUCCCAGCUAGACUACUGGGUUGAUAGGCGGGAUGUGGAAGUGCGGACUAAAGACGCAUGGAGCUGACCCGUACUAAUAAGCCGAUAAAUUGAUAACACA